rnacentral:ncRNA from 2 species
UAGGACGUCCAACUAUAUGGUCGGAACAGGUCCGCGGUGUCAGGGAAGCCGGUGUGAGUCCGGCACGGUCCCGCCACUGUGACCGGGGAGUUCGUCCUCGCAGGAGUUCGGCCACUGGCAGCCAGCCGGGAAGGCCCGGGGGCGCGCGUCGAUCCGGGAGUCAGGAUACCGGCCGCGGACGGUCCGUGUUU